rnacentral:lncRNA from 1 species
GCCAGUAGCUUCGUUCAGUUGCUUCAGUGGGAUAAAGUUACUCGAUGUGGAUUUUGUUCUGUAAACGUUCAACAAAUUUGCCAGCGAGUAGUUUGACACAUACGAGCAUGAGGUUCUUCUGGUAACAAGUUCUUGAUACGUCGAUAGGAUAAGUUUUAUAGAAAUGAGAUGAUCUUCUUAAGGGAGGCAUUUUUACAUCUUUGCACAGGUGUACUUUUGCGGCUGUACUUUUGUUAAUUGAAAGUGGAAUUACCCCAAUUGAUAACCAAAUUUUGUGCUCACUGCCGACAUGGGGUUGACGAUGACGUCCCAGAGCCCUUGCCUCUGCUUGAUGCUGCGUCGAGCAAGGUCCACCCCUGCUACCAAAUGCAUUUGGACUCGCAUAUUUCUAUCAUAGAGGAGUAAACCUACAAAUCUCAUCUCAUUCUUUCACAGAUGAAGCCAUCAGAUACGUGUGGUGUGUAGAGUCCGUUCUAAUCAAUGGAAAGGAAGUGGAGGAAGGGAAAUUGCCUACAGGUGAUACUGAUAACUUUAAAACCAUUACUAUGGUUACAAAAUGCGGUAAAUAUUGCAGACAAUGAUAACUUUAAAAACAUUACUAUGAUUACAAAAUGCGUAAAUAUUGCAGAUACUUCAUUUUUCCUAUUUGGUACAGUUAGAUCCUUAUUCGCUUACUUGUGAUGUAUUUCUGAUUGUUUUGACGUGUUCAUGAAUUGCAAAAUGGGGCUUCAAAUGCAUAUCAAAUCAUGAUUUCCAACAUGAUCGAUUUUCAUGUCUUUUUUGCAGAGUUAUUUACAUUUCAACCUGAUCACAAGGCCAUUAGAGAUUGGACUAUUCCACUCGGUCCGAACUACAUUAGGUCAAUUGUACAUUUUAUUUCAAGUUACGAAGAAUAUGAGCUGAGAACAUAUAGGAGCUCUAUGUGGUUUAAAUAUUUUUAGACGAAGUUUGAUGUACUUCUCAUGAAUAUCUUCGUAAACAGAAAUAAUGGUAAACCAUGCACUGCUACAUUAUGUUUCACCAGAAUCACUCUUUAUAAUAUCUUGUUGCUUUCAUGUUGUGGAUACUAAUUAUCUUCGGCAUCUACUAAGGUAAAGCUAAAUGUUUU